AGAGAGAGACAUGCGCGCAUAUCAAUAAGCGGAGGAAAAGAAACUAACAAGGAUUCCCUUAGUAACGGCGAGUGAAGCGGGAAGAGCUCAAAUUUGAAAUCUUCAAGGUUUUACCUUGACGAAUUGUAGUUUAAAGAAGUGUUUUCUGCUGAAGUUUUGGUAAAAGUUCUUUGGAAUAGGACAUCAUAGAGGGUGAGAAUCCCGUAUUUGACCAUUAUUUUCAGCUUUGUGAUACACUUUCAAAGAGUCGGAUUGUUUGGGAAUGCAGUCCAAAAUGGGUGGUAAAUUUCAUCUAAAGCUAAAUAUUGGCGAGAGACCGAUAGCGAAACAAGUACCGUGAGGGGAAGAUGAAAAGAACUUUGAAAAGAGAGUUAAACAGUACGUGAAAUUGUCAAAAGGGAAGCGUUUGACACCAGUGUUGUUUUCUCGAAAAUCAAUUAAAAAUGGCUCGAUUUUGUAUUGUUGAGACCUUAAAAGCUCACUGUACAUUUUUCGUGUCUUUUUUAAUGCACUUUUCGUUUAACAAGUCAACAUCAGUUUCUUUUGUUGUAAAAGGGUCAUUGGAAGGUGGCUUUCUUUUCGGAGAAAGUGUUUAUAGCCUUUGGCCUCUGCAAUCGGAGAGACUGAGGUCUGCAGCGUAGACUCUUCGGGGUUAGAUACAUUUGUGCUAAGUUAUAGCUUUUUAUAGACAACUUGUUGACUAUAAUUAGUCUUGUAGCUUACUCGCUUAUGCUAUUUUACCUACGCUUAGGAUGUUGAGUCGUAGAGCACGCAG
rnacentral:rRNA from 1 species